rnacentral:tRNA from 1 species
GCCCGGAUGGCGAAAUUGGCAGACGCACAGGACUUAAAAUCCUGGGAGGGUAAACCUCGUACGGGUUCGACCCCCGUUCUGGGCA